AACCAACAAGCUGAUCAAUUGGGAAAUCUGCAUUUGAUUUUGCAUUGAGAGACGACUCAACAGCUUUCUUCCCUGCAAAACCUUGAGCUGCUUCUUUGGCCUUUCUUCUGAUCUUCUUCUUUUGGUUCUUAUUUACAUUCCCAUUGAAUGUUACGUGACCCUUCACGUCCUUUUUGUCAGGAAGAAUAAGAGGGGCUCCUGAUUUUCUCAGAUCCUUAGACGGAUCAAUCAUGGAACAGAGAAGAAUCUUCUUCUUUUGGUUCUUAUUUACAAUCCCAUUGAAUGUUACGUGACCCUUCACGUCCUUUUUGUCAGGAAGAAUAAGAGGGGCUCCUGAUUUUCUCAGAUCCUUAGACGGAUCAAUCAUGGAACAGAGAAGAAUGUUGUCUGGUUUCAAAU
rnacentral:lncRNA from 1 species